rnacentral:lncRNA from 1 species
CUUGUAUAACUUUUACUCUUUUUCAGUUUUCUUUAAAGUAAUUGACUAUCAUAUUCUUUUUUUAAUUAAGAAGAUUUUUAUUCCAGAAAUUCAAAGGUGGCUUACAAAACCCCAAAACACCUAUUCAAGAUCUUUGUAUAGCCAGGCACAGUUUAAAGUCAGAUCUAGCCUUGGGGUUUAAAUAUGGUGCCGCGUCGUGCACAACUUUCACAUGAUGUCAAAAAAGAAAACGUGUAAGCCCGCAUUGUCCUCUUUAUUCAGCUUCUUAAUAUCCAAAUGGGAUAACUUGCAUUUAUUUCUGGUUCCUAAGGAAAACAAAGCAGAACAGAGUUCUAGAUCCCAGAUCCUUCCAGAGUAGCCCCGGCUGUCCUAACGACUUACAUUCAGAUUUUUAUGUGGCACGGUGACGCAUAUCCAUACACCACUACUUGGGAUGCUGAGGCAGAAGUGAGUUGGGGACACCUUGGACUGCAAAGACCACCUGCCUCUCUUGGGGUGGAGCCACCCAUGGUGGACAGAGUUCUCCUACAUCAACCAUUAAUCAAGAAAAUCCCCUGCCCGACGGGCUUGCCUACCGGCCAAUGUGAAAGAGGCAAUUCCUCAGUUGAGAGUCCCUCUUCCCAGGAACCAUCAGGUAUCGGGCUUCAGGAAAGCAGAUCUCCCAGAUAAACUGGUUGCUUCUCAUAAAUAGUGUCCAAUAACACUGCAAGGAGGAAGAGCCUAAUUACCCUAGGAUAGCCCACUUUGCCAACAAUGGAGGUAUUAUGCUGCUGUGGAGAGGACAAGUAGAAAAGUUUCUUCCAGGUAAUUGCAGAUUUAGGGUGAUGGAGGAAGGCUUGUAUCAUCAGGGAGAAUUUAACAAGCUUUAACAUGGGAAGUUUCUGCAAUUUUAGCCGAUUAUACUUAUGAUUCUAUAUUUGCCCAUUAAUUUGUUUUGAACCGAAUUAACGAAUGGUGUAUCUAGUUAAGAAAUGUGCUGUUUUCUGAUAUGGAAAUAAACAAGCUCAUCUCGUUUGGUUAAAACACUUCAGUAUCUAAAUAUAUAGUUUUUUAUUUGAAUGUGUGUUAAUCAUGAUUUAAAAAAUUAUCUACUAUUUCAACACUACAUUCUUUCAGCUUUAUAAUAAAGAAAACAUUAGCUAAUUUCUAGGUGAUAGACCUUUUCAUUAUUGCUGGCCUAGCUACUCAAAGGUUCAGAUGAUGCUUUGAAAGUAUAGGUGUCUCUUCAGUUCUGUAAACAAGUCACUAUCGUCCUCUUGUAACUCCUGGACAUGUGAUGUCCUUAAGAAAAAGAUGGAGAAAAGAAAGGAAGCUGGAGGGAGGAGGAAAGGGGAUGACAGAGGCAGAGAGGGGACAGGAGGGGAAAAGACAAAAGACAAAGCUGCUGUUUUACCAAGAAUGUGUGUGCUUGCGUAUGUAUGUGUGCCCAAAUUUAUGGUUCCACUUUUCCAAAUUAUAGACUUAACUUCAACAAGAAUUUAUUCAUACUGUUACUGAUGGUUGUUAUUUGAGAAAUUAAAGGGACAUGUACCCAUAAAAUAUUGCCUUGUUUUUAUAAGUAUUUCCACAGGCACCCACAGCUAAGCACUGAACCAUACUCCUGGAAUCUAGUUGUGGAGAGGGAGGAGGGAUGAACAAAGGAGCCAAGACAGUGCUAGAAAAACCCACAGAAACAGUUGACCUGACCAGUUGAGAACAUGGAGACCCCAGUCAUAAAGCUGAGGAACCAGCAUUGGACCGAACCAGGCCCUCUGAAUGUGGGUGUCAGCUAGGAGGCCGAGGCAGUCUAUGGGGCCUCUAACAGUGGAGCCAGUGUUUAUCCCUAGAGCACAAAUGGACUUUGGGAGCCCAUUCCCUAUGGAGGGGUACCACCACAGCCUAGAUGCAAUAAGGUGGGCCUAGC